rnacentral:rRNA from 1 species
GAUGAACGCUGGCGGCGUGCCUAAUACAUGCAAGUCGAGCGAACAGACGAGGAGCUUGCUCCUCUGACGUUAGCGGCGGACGGGUGAGUAACACGUGGAUAACCUACCUAUAAGACUGGGAUAACUUCGGGAAACCGGAGCUAAUACCGGAUAAUAUAUUGAACCGCAUGGUUCAAUAGUGAAAGACGGUUUUGCUGUCACUUAUAGAUGGAUCCGCGCCGCAUUAGCUAGUUGGUAAGGUAACGGCUUACCAAGGCAACGAUGCGUAGCCGACCUGAGAGGGUGAUCGGCCACACUGGAACUGAGACACGGUCCAGACUCCUACGGGACGCAGCAGUAGGGAAUCUUCCGCAAUGGGCGAAAGCCUGACGGAGCAACGCCGCGUGAGUGAUGAAGGUCUUCGGAUCGUAAAACUCUGUUAUUAGUGAAGAACAAAUGUGUAAGUAACUAUGCACGUCUUGACGGUACCUAAUCAGAAAGCCACGGCUAACUACGUG